AGUGAAAGAACACGAGCAAACCCAUGUAAUGAAUUCUUAUUUUUUUAGGUGCUAAAUGGCGGACAUAUUGCCUGCAGAGACCAAACCAAGCAACCCCAAAACGCACCUCGGCCGCCUGCCACAGAAUCUCCACGUUCUUGCUCUUCUUGGCGUUGAUGUUCUGGUUGAGCAGUCUGAGCAGGUCGGGCAUACCGGUGUUGCUGCGAGAGCGAGGCAGGCCUGAGAAGACCACGAGAGGGGAGGUUGUGUGCGGACUGACGGUCUGGCAGAAGACGACGUCGCGGCGGUACUGCAGCGUGAGGCUCAUGGCAAUGGUGGGGGCGCUGUCCUGCAUGAGGAGGAACACCAUGGCCUUCCUGGCCUUGUCGCCCAGCAGCGAGGCGCAGUCGCUCAGCGUGGCCAGCAGAGGGUGCAUAGCCUCGCUCCACUCACCUGCAGGUCACUGAUGGUCUCCUGGUAGGUGAGGAUGAUGGUCUGGUACUGUGUGAUGAUCUGCCUCCGGAGGUUCUCCCAGCAUGGCGACAGCUCGCCAAGUUCUUCCAGCUCGCACACCCUAACGCAGCUUGACAAACUGUCGAGGGAUGUGCAGCGAGAGAACACUCUCCGCCAUCUGCUCCAGGACCCGAAGAUGGUUGCCGUCCGUGGUGGGGAAACGAAUCAAGUGGAAGUGACUUCAACCGGACCCCGAGUCUCCUUGUGAUCCUUGUGUGCCUCGAUCUCAGCUGUCACGCAUGAGUCACUAAAAGGAGGAAAACAGAUCAGAAUUUCAUGAGGGAUGAUGCAGCCAACUGAUCAUUUGACGUCGCACUAGCAAAAAAUCACAGAUGACAAAUACAUCAUGGCCACUACGCCACAUUAGACUCAGUGUGUGUGUGACUGAAGGGCGCCGUGGGAAGCUCUGUGGGAAAGCCGUCGUGGGUUUGCUGCGAAGACUCAGGUGGCCCCAGAUCAUCGUCAUGGCUACACGUGUUUGACAGGCGUCUUCAUCAUCAUUCUCUGCGUGUGACGAGCUUCUUCAUCUUUGAGCUCAUUGAGUCACAACAUUACAGGUAAACAGUGACGGGCAGUAACAAGUUACAUGAAGCUAAGCUACAGAGCUUAAUUUCUCAGUAGCUUGGCGGUAGCUUCCAUAUUUUUUUCAAACGAGAAUGAUGAAUGAGAACAUCUAUACCAAGGGUCACCAACGCAGUGCCCGUGGGCACCAGGUAGCCCGUAAGGACCAGAUGAGUAGCCCGCUGGCCUGUUCUAAAAAUAGCUCAAAUAGCAGCACUUACCAGUGAGCUGCCUCUAUUUUUUUUAUUUUUUUUAUUUACUAGCAAACUGAUAUCGCUUCGCUCAACGUUUUUAACUCUAAGAGAGACAAAACUCAAAUAGAAUUUGAAAAUCCAAGAAAAUAUUUUAAAGACUUGGUGUUCACUUGUUUAAAUAAAUUCAUUUAUUUUUUUACUUUGCUUCUUAUAACUUUCAGAAAGACAAUAUUAGACAAAAAAUACAACUUUAAUUUUUAAACACAUAUACCUUUUUACCUUUUAAAUUCCUUCCUCUUCUUUCCUGACAAUUAAAUCAAUG